rnacentral:rRNA from 1 species
AGAGUUUGAUCCUGGCUCAGGACGAACGCUGGCGGCGCGCCUAACACAUGCAAGUCGAACGGAGCUUAGAGAGCUUGCUUUUUAAGCUUAGUGGCGAACGGGUGAGUAACGCGUGAGUAACCUGCCCUAGAGUGGGGGACAACAGUUGGAAACGACUGCUAAUACCGCAUAAGCCCACGGUACCGCAUGGUACUGAGGGAAAAGGAUUUAUUCGCUUUAGGAUGGACUCGCGUCCAAUUAGCUAGUUGGUGAGGUAACGGCCCACCAAGGCGACGAUUGGUAGCCGGACUGAGAGGUUGAACGGCCACAUUGGGACUGAGACACGGCCCAGACUCCUACGGGAGGCAGCAGUGGGGGAUAUUGCACAAUGGGGGAAACCCUGAUGCAGCGACGCCGCGUGGAGGAAGAAGGUUUUCGGAUUGUAAACUCCUGUCGUUAGGGACGAUAAUGACGGUACCUAACAAGAAAGCACCGGCUAACUACGUGCCAGCAGCCGCGGUAAAACGUAGGGUGCAAGCGUUGUCCGGAAUUACUGGGUGUAAAGGGAGCGCAGGCGGGAAGACAAGUUGGAAGUGAAAACCAUGGGCUCAACCCAUGAAUUGCUUUCAAAACUGUUUUUCUUGAGUAGUGCAGAGGUAGAUGGAAUUCCCGGUGUAGCGGUGGAAUGCGUAGAUAUCGGGAGGAACACCAGUGGCGAAGGCGGUCUACUGGGCACCAACUGACGCUGAGGCUCGAAAGCAUGGGUAGCAAACAGGAUUAGAUACCCUGGUAGUCCAUGCCGUAAACGAUGAUUACUAGGUGUUGGGGGAUUGACCCCCUCAGUGCCGCAGUUAACACAAUAAGUAAUCCACCUGGGGAGUACGACCGCAAGGUUGAAACUCAAAGGAAUUGACGGGGGCCC